rnacentral:rRNA from 1 species
GAUUAAGUUAUUAAGGGCGCACGGUGGAUGCCUUGGCACUAGAAGCCGAUGAAGGACGUUACUAACGACGAUAUGCUUUGGGGAGCUGUAAGUAAGCUUUGAUCCAGAGAUUUCCGAAUGGGGAAACCCAGCAUGAGUUAUGUCAUGUUAUCGAUAUGUGAAUACAUAGCAUAUCAGAAGGCACACCCGGAGAACUGAAACAUCUUAGUACCCGGAGGAAGAGAAAGAAAAUUCGAUUCCCUUAGUAGCGGCGAGCGAAACGGGAAGAGCCCAAACCAACAAGCUUGCUUGUUGGGGUUGUAGGACACUCUAUACGGAGUUACAAAGGACGACAUUAGACGAAUCAUCUGGAAAGAUGAAUCAAAGAAGGUAAUAAUCCUGUAGUCGAAAAUGUUGUCUCUCUUGAGUGGAUCCUGAGUACGACGGAGCACGUGAAAUUCCGUCGGAAUCUGGGAGGACCAUCUCCUAAGGCUAAAUACUCUCUAGUGACCGAUAGUGAACCAGUACCGUGAGGGAAAGGUGAAAAGCACCCCGGAAGGGGAGUGAAAUAGAACCUGAAACCGUGUGCUUACAAGUAGUCAGAGCCCGUUAAUGGGUGAUGGCGUGCCUUUUGUAGAAUGAACCGGCGAGUUACGAUUUGAUGCAAGGUUAAGCAGUAAAUGUGGAGCCGUAGCGAAAGCGAGUCUGAAUAGGGCGUUUAGUAUUUGGUCGUAGACCCGAAACCAGGUGAUCUACCCUUGGUCAGGUUGAAGUUCAGGUAACACUGAAUGGAGGACCGAACCGACUUACGUUGAAAAGUGAGCGGAUGAACUGAGGGUAGCGGAGAAAUUCCAAUCGAACCUGGAGAUAGCUGGUUCUCUCCGAAAUAGCUUUAGGGCUAGCCUCAAGUGAUGAUUAUUGGAGGUAGAGCACUGUUUGGACGAGGGGCCCCUCUCGGGUUACCGAAUUCAGACAAACUCCGAAUGCCAAUUAAUUUAACUUGGGAGUCAGAACAUGGGUGAUAAGGUCCGUGUUCGAAAGGGAAACAGCCCAGACCACCAGCUAAGGUCCCAAAAUAUAUGUUAAGUGGAAAAGGAUGUGGCGUUGCCCAGACAACUAGGAUGUUGGCUUAGAAGCAGCCAUCAUUUAAAGAGUGCGUAAUAGCUCACUAGUCGAGUGACACUGCGCCGAAAAUGUACCGGGGCUAAACAUAUUACCGAAGCUGUGGAUUGUCCUUUGGACAAUGGUAGGAGAGCGUUCUAAGGGCGUUGAAGCAUGAUCGUAAGGACAUGUGGAGCGCUUAGAAGUGAGAAUGCCGGUGUGAGUAGCGAAAGACGGGUGAGAAUCCCGUCCACCGAUUGACUAAGGUUUCCAGAGGAAGGCUCGUCCGCUCUGGGUUAGUCGGGUCCUAAGCUGAGGCCGACAGGCGUAGGCGAUGGAUAACAGGUUGAUAUUCCUGUACCACCUAUAAUCGUUUUAAUCGAUGGGGGGACGCAGUAGGAUAGGCGAAGCGUGCGAUUGGAUUGCACGUCUAAGCAGUAAGGCUGAGUAUUAGGCAAAUCCGGUACUCGUUAAGGCUGAGCUGUGAUGGGGAGAAGACAUUGUGUCUUCGAGUCGUUGAUUUCACACUGCCGAGAAAAGCCUCUAGAUAGAAAAUAGGUGCCCGUACCGCAAACCGACACAGGUAGUCA